AUUGAACGCUGGCGGCAGGCCUAACACAUGCAAGUCGAGCGGAUGAAGGGAGCUUGCUCCUGGAUUCAGCGGCGGACGGGUGAGUAAUGCCUAGGAAUCUGCCUGGUAGUGGGGGAUAACGUCCGGAAACGGGCGCUAAUACCGCAUACGUCCUGAGGGAGAAGGUGGGGGAUCUUCGGACCUCACGCUAUCAGAUGAGCCUAGGUCGGAUUAGCUAGUUGGUGGGGUAAAGGCCUACCAAGGCGACGAUCCGUAACUGGUCUGAGAGGAUGAUCAGUCACACUGGAACUGAGACACGGUUCAGACUCCUACGGGAGGCAGCAGUGGGGAAUAUUGGACAAUGGGCGAAAGCCUGAUCCAGCCAUGCCGCGUGUGUGAAGAAGGUCUUCGGAUUGUAAAGCACUUUAAGUUGGGAGGAAGGGCAGUAAGUUAAUACCUUGCUGUUUUGACGUUACCAACAGAAUAAGCACCGGCUAACUUCGUG
rnacentral:rRNA from 1 species